rnacentral:rRNA from 1 species
UACGGGGGGAGCAAGCGUUGUUCGGAAUUACUGGGCGUAAAGCGCGUGUAGGCGGCUCGGCAAGUCGGGUGUGAAAGCCCUGGGCUUAACCUAGGAAGUGCACUCGAAACUGCCAAGCUUGAGUUCUGGAGAGGAAGGCGGAAUUCUCGGUGUAGAGGUGAAAUUCGUAGAUAUCGAGAGGAACACCGGUGGCGAAGGCGGCCUUCUGGACAGCAACUGACGCUGAGACGCGAAAGCGUGGGGAGCAAACAGG